GGCUGCUCCAAGUGCAGUGGUGUUUACAGCUAAUGACCACAACCAGUGACAGAUUUCUUUGUUGCUUCUUUACUCCCACUGCUUCACUUUACUAGCCAAAA
ensembl:misc_RNA Y_RNA Y RNA